GAGGGGCCAAUAUUGUUAAAAUUGAAACUUAACUUUAAUUAAUUAAAUAAAACACACCAAACACCCCACAAGGAGGUGUCUGGUCGUACAAGAAGAACAGGGGGGCGAUCCCCACACAAAAAAACCCUAAAUCUUCACCAAACUUGCAAAUUGAAGGCUCAAUCCAAGUCAAAAUCGAAAAUCAAGCAUAGAUUAUUGAUCCCCAUGGCAAGAGGGUUGUAAGUUUGACUCUUGACAAGCUAGAUGGAGGCUUGGGAAUGAAGCGGGUCAAACGGAGCAAGUGCGAAAAGGAAAGCGUAAUUUGGAUGCGAGGAGCGAAUAGUAAUUUGGAUAAUUGCGUCGCCAUAGAAUAUCGGUAAUAAAAGCAAGGUGUUGAAAUGGGUCACUAGGGUGACUCGAGCCAGGUACGUAUAAAUACGAUUGUGGUUAAACAUACAUUCUUUUUUUGGGUCAAAUAAGUAGCAAAUGCCCUUCGUCGUAAAUGAGGGGCUAAAGUUGACUAAAAUGCCCUUGUUGGGUAAACCGGGCAAACAACCUUUAAAAGUUGUUGGAAAUAAGUGUUUUGGAAGAAACGGUAGGUUAAACAGACGAGCGGUUUGAAAGAUACGAAAGUUUUCGUGUCAAAAACGGCAAAAAGGAAAGGAAUGAUGCAGGGGCCACCGUAACUUACGGUACCACCGUAAGUUACGGUGGACAUGAUUUGGUUACGGUAAAUGCCUACUGUUGUACGGUUGAAUAAUUGAAACACAGAGACCACCGUAACUUACGGUGCCACCGUAAGUUACGGUGGAGGUCAGAAAUGAGUUUUUAUUUUGGGUUUAAGAUAUCCAUGUGGGAUUUUCCUAAUUUCCCCGUUGUAUUACUUUAAUUAAUUAUCAAAACUGACCUUUAAGUUGGUUUU